rnacentral:pre_miRNA from 15 species
UGUUGCUACCAUCACUAGCGAUGUACACGGUGGCAGUGUGGUUAGCUGGUUGUGUUUUUUUGAUCACGACCACUAUCCAUACUCCCUCCAUGAAUAUCGUUAAACCAACCAGAUUGGGU